GUGCUCGCUUCGGCAGCACAUAUACUAAAAUUGGAACAAUAUAGAGAAGAUUAGCAUGGCCCCUGUGCAAGGAUGAUACACAAAUUCGUGAAAUGUUCCAUAUUUUU
rnacentral:snRNA from 1 species